rnacentral:rRNA from 1 species
UACGGAGGGUGCGAGCGUUGUCCGGAAUCACUGGGCGUAAAGGGCGCGUAGGCGGCGCGGAAAGUCAACGGUGAAAGCUUGGGGCUCAACCCCGAGUCGGCCGUCGAUACUUCCGUGCUCGAGCACUGUAGAGGCAGGUGGAAUUCCGGGUGUAGCGGUGGAAUGCGUAGAGAUCCGGAAGAACACCGGUGGCGAAGGCGGCCUGCUGGGCAGUUGCUGACGCUGAGGCGCGAAAGCUAGGGGAGCAAACGGG